CAACCUGGCGGCGUGCCUAUCAUGCAAGUCGAACGCACGAAGUUGAAGAGCUUGCUCUUUAACUAAGUGAGUGGCGGACGGGUGAGUAACACGUGGGUAACCUGCCCAUUAGAGGGGGAUAACAUUCGGAAACGGAUGCUAAUACCGCAUAGUUUCAGGAAUCGCAUGAUUCUUGAAGGAAAGGUGGCUUCGGCUACCACUAAUGGAUGGACCCGCGGCGUAUUAGCUAGUUGGUGAGGUAAUGGCUCACCAAGGCAAUGAUACGUAGCCGACCUGAGAGGGUGAUCGGCCACACUGGGACUGAGACACGGCCCAGACUCCUACGGGAGGCAGCAGUAGGGAAUCUUCCGCAAUGGACGAAAGUCUGACGGAGCAACGCCGCGUGAGUGAAGAAGGUUUUCGGAUCGUAAAACUCUGUUGUUAAAGAAGAACAAGGAUGAGAGUAACUGCUCAUCCCCUGACGGUAUUUAACCAGAAAGCCACGGCUAACUACGUGCCAGCAGCCGCGGUAAU
rnacentral:rRNA from 1 species